CGGUACAUCGGUGACAGGUGGUGCAUGGUUGUCGUCAGCUCGUGUCGUGAGAUGUUGGGUUAAGUCCCGCAACGAGCGCAACCCCUAUUGUUAGUUGCCAUCAUUCAGUUUGGGCACUCUAGCGAGACUGCCGGUAAUAAACCGGAGGAAGUGGGAUGACGUCAAAUCAUCAUGCCCCUUAUGACCUGGGCUACACACGUGCUACAAUGGUUGGUACAACGAGUUGCGAGUCGGUGACGGCGAGCUAAUCUCUUAAAGCCAAUCUCAGUUCGGAUUGUAGGCUGCAACUCGCCUACAUGAAGUCGGAAUCGCUAGUAAUCGCGGAUCAGCACGCCGCGGUGAAUACGUUCCCGGGCCUU
rnacentral:rRNA from 1 species